rnacentral:lncRNA from 1 species
UAAUUAUUGGGUUGGAAGUAAUUUGAAAUAUACCCAUGGCUGAAAUAAUAUGAAAUUAUAUCCAUAGGUGAAAGUUAAAUCUGAGAACUAAAAACACUGGUAACAAUGAGAACAACAAAGUAUGUCUUUGACAAAAAAAAAACGUGUAUUUGAUAUUGUUGAACGUGAUGAAAUGAUCUAACUGCAGGAAGGGCACUUAGAAUACAUGCCUGGGCAAAGACCUUUCAUUUUUCAUUUCUCACAGAAAGAGAUAUCAUGAGCUCUUCAAAGAGCUCUGAUUUCAUUUGGACCAAAAUUUAGUUAAUACUAUUAUUAUAUUGCUCUUUGUAGUGAAAUGCAAAAUAAAAGGCAUACUUUAUUGGUCUUAGAAAACAAUUUUCACACGGAUAGUCUCUGGAAAGUUUCAAAACCUUGAAGAUUUAAAUGCUUUUCUUUUGAGCUAUAAUGGAAAUUUGAUAGUACAAUUAACCCAGAUUUGUGCUGAGUUUAUCCCAUGAAACAAUCAUAGGGAUUAUUUACACUUUGUAUGGGAACAUGAAUA